ACGGGAGGCAGCAGUGGGGAAUAUUGCACAAUGGGGGAAACCCUGAUGAAGCGACGCCGCGUGAGUGAGGAAGUAUUUCGGUAUGUAAAGCUCUAUCAGCAGGGAAGAAAACAAUGACGGUACCUGACUAAGAAGCCCCGGCUAACUACGUGCCAGCAGCCGCGGUAAUACGUAGGGGGCAAGCGUUAUCCGGAUUUACGGGGUGUAAAGGGAGCGUAGACGGUGAGGCAAGUCUGAAGUGAAAGCCCGGGGCUCAACCCCGGGACUGCUUUGGAAACUGUCUGACUAGAGUGCAGGAGAGGUAAGUGGAAUUCCUAGUGUAGCGGUGAAAUGCGUAGAUAUUAGGAGGAACACCAGUGGCGAAGGCGGCUUACUGGACUGUAACUGACGUUGAGGCUCGAAAGCGUGGGGAGCAAACAGGAUUAGAUACCCUGGUA
rnacentral:rRNA from 1 species